UGAGGGAGUUCUGAGGGGUAUCUUGCAUUCCUUCAGCAUUAUUGAGUCAUAGAAGCAAGCCAUAUACUGCAUGCUUAUCAGACCUAAAUUUGUUAAAAGCUCCAUUUGAAAAACUUACAAGUAUUCAUCUAGAUAAUAGAGGCCAAGGGUUGAACUCUGCGCUUCUGAACAGCUGUUAUAUCUUCUCAUGUUCCAAUGGAGCACCAGAUCCAUUUUCAAGGUCUCUACGAUGAGAAGAUGCAGAGAAUGUGGAAAAUCCUCACAAGGAUAGUAUUUUUCUAAAGCAUACACUCAUUAAAAUUGUGCAAUUAGAAGGA